GGCCGCCCACAGUCAGGAGGAAUUUGUUGCGAGGAGUAGUGGAGUGGACCCGUGGCCCUCACUGUAGCGCGCCACGUGGAGUCUGCCGUAGGGAGUGGAGCGACGUCCGUUGUCGCGACUUACCAGAGGAUGGAAGAAUCGCGCAGUAUCCGUUACAGGAGGUGGAGCAGGAUCGUGGGCAUCAUAGCGGUCUGCCAGGGAAUAGUGGGGCCGCGCAGGAUCCGUCGC
rnacentral:lncRNA from 1 species